CAUUAGCGAAUUGUAAUGGGGGUUGAUGCUGGCGGUCGCCGCGUUCGGCUGCAUGUGCUUGCCCCUGACAAUCUCUAUCCAAACACCUGUGCACCUUUUAAGGGUUUCUGAGUCGUGACCGCCAUUCUGUUGGAGGUCCUCCUUAGAUUCCCUUCUUUUUACAUACACUAUUUGUAAUGAUGAACGUGGCUUGGGCCGGACACGGCUCUUAAAAUAUACAACUUUUAACAACGGAUCUCUUGGCUCUCGCAUCGAUGAAGAACGCAGCGAAAUGCGAUAAGUAAUGUGAAUUGCAGAAUUCAGUGAAUCAUCGAAUCUUUGAACGCACCUUGCGCUCCCUGGUAUUCCGGGGAGCACGCCUGUUCGAGUGUCGUGAAGUUCUCAAGCUGGGGAUGCUUUUCAUCUCUUCCAGAGAUGGUGGGCUCCCCGAAGCUCGGUUCAUUGGGCUUUGCCGUGCCCUACCUAUUGGGGCGGCUGGCCUUAAAUACAUUAGCUGGUCCUCAUGUGAGAUUUGGUUCUACUCAGCGUGAUAAUAAUUCUGACCGCUGAGGACAUCGUUCGGGAUGGCCAAAUCUCAUUUGGGUUGCUUCUAAUCUGGUUUGCAGCUCUUUCUGAGCCUGCUCCACUUUCAAUUUUGACCUCGAAUCAGGUGGGACUACCCGCUGAACUUAAGCAUAUCAAUAAGCGGAGGAAAAGAAACUAACAAGGAUUCCCCUAGUAACGGCGAGUGAAGCGGGAAGAGCUCAAAUUUAGAAUCUGGUAGUCUUCGGCUGCCCGAAUUGUAAUCUAGAGAAGCGUUUUCCGCGCUGGACCGUGUACAAGUUUCCUGGAUACGGAACAUCAUAGAGGGUGAGAAUCCCGUCCUUGACACGGACUCCCAGGCUUUUGUGAUGCGCUCUCGACGAGUCGAGUUGUUUGGGAUUGCAGCUCAAAAUGGGAGGUAAAUUCCUUCUAAAGCUAAAUAUUGGCGAGAGACCGAUAGCGAACAAGUACCGUGAGGGAAAGAUGAAAAGCACUUUGGAAAGAGAGUUAAACAGUACGUGAAAUUGUUAAAAGGGAAACGCUUGAAGUCAGUCACGUCUGCUUGGACUCAGCCUCACUUCGGUUUGGUGCAUUUCCUUGCGGAUGGGCCAGCGUCCAUGUUGUUUGUCGGAAAAGGGGUGAGAGAAUGUGGCUCCUUCGGGAGUGUUAUAGCUUUCGCUCGCAUGCGAGAAACGAUAUGGAGUGGUACAGCACGCUUUGUGGUGCUUGUGCUGGCAUAGGCUUUAAACGCCGUCUGAAACCGGACCAAAGGAGUCAACAUGUCUGCGAUGUUGGGUGGAAACCAGCGCAUAAUGAAUGACGCUGGGAACCCGUUUGGG
rnacentral:rRNA from 1 species